rnacentral:rRNA from 1 species
CUACGGGUGGCAGCAGUAAGGAAUAUUGCGCAAUGGAGGCAACUCUGACGCAGCCAUGCCGCGUGCAGGACUGAAGGCCUUAUGGGUCGUAAACUGCUUUUAUUUAGGAAUAAACUCUUGUACGUGUACGAGACUGAAGGUACUAAAUGAAUAAGCACCGGCUAACUCCGUGCCAGCAGGCCGCGGUAAUACGGAGGGUGCAAGCGUUAUCCGGAUUUAUUGGGUUUAAAGGGUGCGCAGGCGGACUAUUAAGUCAGAGGUGAAAUCCCGGAGCUCAACUUCGGAACUGCCUUUGAUACUGGUAGUCUUGAAUACGGUUGAAGUAGGCGGAAUGUAGCAUGUAGCGGUGAUAUGCAUAGAGAUGCUACAGAACACCGAUCGCGAAGGCAGCUUACUAAGCCGAUAUUGACGCUCAGGCACGAAAGCGUGGGGAGCGAACAGGAUUAGAUACCCUAGUAGUC